AACUGGCGGGCGAUAGGGCGUCAGGGAGGUGAUUGGGUCCAGGAGGCAUGGGAACGCACCAUUGCAGUGUAGAAAAAAAAUCCCUUAGGUGGAACAAUUCGCACGUCACCCACCAAUGGCACCGACUGCUCCUUUGAGCGCCUCGAUCCCGGCAAGGCGGG